rnacentral:rRNA from 1 species
CAGCAGCCGCGGGAAUGCGGAGGGUGCAAGCGUUAAUCGGAAUUACUGGGCGUAAAGCGCACGCAGGCGGUCUGACAAGUCAGAUGUGAAAUCCCCGGGCUUAACCUGGGAACUGCAUUUGAAACUGUCAGGCUGGAGUCUUGUAGAGGGGGGUGGAAUUCCAGGUGUAGCGGUGAAAUGCGUAGAGAUCUGGAGGAAUACCGGUGGCGAAGGCGGCCCCCUGGACAAAGACUGACGCUCAGGUGCGAAAGCGUGGGGAGCAAACAGGAUUAGAUACCCCUGUAGUCCCUGUCUCUUAUAC